GGCUACACACGUGCUACAAUGGGUAGUACAGAGAGUCGCAAACCUGCGAGGGGGAGCUAAUCUCAGAAAACUAUUCUUAGUUCGGAUUGUACUCUGCAACUCGAGUACAUGAAGUUGGAAUCGCUAGUAAUCGCAAAUCAGCUAUGUUGCUGGUGAAUACGUUCUCGGGUCUUGUACACACCGCCCGUCACACCACGAGAGUUGGUUGCACCUGAAGUAGCAGGCCUAACCGUAAGGAGGGAUGCUCCGAGGGUGUGAUUAGCGAUUGGGGUGAAGUCGUAACAAGGUAUCCGUACGGGAACGU
rnacentral:rRNA from 1 species